rnacentral:rRNA from 1 species
ACGAAGGGACCUAGCGUAGUUCGGAAUUACUGGGCUUAAAGAGUUCGUAGGUGGUUGAAAAAGUUGGUGGUGAAAUCCCAGAGCUUAACUCUGGAACUGCCAUCAAAACUUUUCAGCUAGAGUAUGAUAGAGGAAAGCAGAAUUUCUAGUGUAGAGGUGAAAUUCGUAGAUAUUAGAAAGAAUACCAAUUGCGAAGGCAGCUUUCUGGAUCAUUACUGACACUGAGGAACGAAAGCAUGGGUAGCGAAGAGG